rnacentral:rRNA from 1 species
GUCUACGACUAUGCCACCCUGAACAAACCUGAUCCCAUCUGAUCUUGGAAGCUAAGCAGAGUCGGGCCUGGUUAGUACUUGGAUGGGAGGUGCUGUAAGCGUGAAAAAUAAAAAUAAGGGAUUGUAAGCU